rnacentral:misc_RNA from 1 species
GAUGAAGAACGUAGCGAAAUGCGAUAAGUAAUGUGAAUUGCAGAAUUCAGUGAAUCAUCGAAUCUUUGACCGCACAUUGCGCCCGCCAGUAUUCUGGCGGGCAUGCCUGUUCGAGCGUCAUUACAACCCUCAGGCCCCCGGGCCUGGCGUUGGGGAUCGGCGGAAGCCCCCUGCGGGCACAACGCCGUCCCCCAAAUACAGUGGCGGUCCCGCCGCAGCUUCCAUUGCGUAGUAGCUAACACCUCGCAACUGGAGAGCGGCGCGGCCACGCCGUAAAACACCCAACUUCUGAAUGUUGACCUCGAAUCAGGUAGGAAUACCCGCUGAACUUAAGCAUAUCAAUAAGCGGAGGA